AGAAAAUCGAUGAGUAAGAAGAGUAUGUAUAUAAUAGGCGCUUCAGAGAGCUGGGAUUAGGUGAGAGCCCAGUGCGAUACGAUAUACAGAAUGGGCUUACGAGAGGUAUGCUGAACGAAUAGUAGGUAUACACGGGUUCCGCCGUUACAAGGAUAGGGUAUAAUAUUGUACCUGAACAAAGCGGGAUGCUAUGCAUCCAAUAAGAGGUGGUACCGCGGUAAAAAUUUAUCGUCCUCUGC
rnacentral:ncRNA from 1 species